rnacentral:rRNA from 1 species
GGACGGGGCCCGCACAAGCGGUGGAGCAUGUGGUUUAAUUCGACGCAACGCGAAGAACCUUACCAGGGCUUGACAUCCCCUGACCGCGUAUGAAAGUACGUUUUCACCCUCGGGUGACAGGGAGACAGGUGGUGCAUGGUUGUCGUCAGCUCGUGUCGUGAGAUGUUGGGUUAAGUCCCGCAACGAGCGCAACCCCUACGUUUAGUUGCUAACGCGUGAAGGCGGGCACUCUAGACGAACUGCCGUUGACAAAACGGAGGAAGUGGGAUGACGUCAAAUCAUCAUGCCCCUUAUGUUCUGGGCUACACACGUGCUACAAUGGCCGGUACAGACGGACGCAAAGCCGCGAGGUGGAGCAAAUCCUAAAAAGCCGGUCUCAGUUCGGAUUGCAGGCUGCAAUUCGCCUGCAUGAAGUCGGAAUCGCUAGUAAUCGCAGGUCAGCAUACUGCGGUGAAUACGUUCCCGGGCCUU